CAAUAGCGUAUAUUAAAGUUGUUGCAGUUAAAAAGCUCGUAGUUGGAUCUCAGGAGGACUUCAGUUGGUCGGCCUAACUGGUCAGAACCGUCUGUCUCUUCCUUGUUUCUGAAUCCCGCCCGGAGUUCAUUCUUCGGGUGUGGACUUCAGAUCGUUUACCUUGAAAAAAUUAGAGUGUUCAAAGCGGGCGUUUGCUUGAAUAUAUUAGCAUGGAAUAAUAGAAUAGGACUUUGGUUCUAUUUUGUUGGUUUCUAGGACCGAAGUAAUGAUUAAUAGGGACAGUUGGGGGCAUUAGUAUUUAAUUGUCAGAGGUGAAAUUCUUGGAUUUAUGAAAGACUAACUACUGCGAAAGCAUUUGCCAAGGAUGUUUUCAUUAAUCAAGAACGAAAGUUAGGGGAUCGAAGAUGAUCAGAUACCAU
rnacentral:rRNA from 1 species